UCGCAGAACUGGUCACGGGUCGUGACUCGCUUCACCGAGCGACUGACUGUAGCUCCCUGCCCUGACUCCAGGGACCAGGGCUGCUUUUUUUUCUCCCCCUUUCCGUUCAUUUUCCUUCCCAUUCUUUGAGCUGUCAAUGGCGACACUGCAUGCUCUCGUCUCAGUGUACACUAGCACAGCUUCUCGCUGACAUACCAUCUUCUGGGCUGAUCGGAGCGUCCCCAACCUCUAGUAUCUGCUCUCUUCUUGGUGAUAUUGGAGUUGGAAUGGCUCCGAUUACUGCAAAAACUAGGGUAGCACUGAAUACAAUGAAGGCCAUCGGAAUACCUAUGCAAACAGCUAAACCAGUUUUGAUGAAUCUUCUUAAGGUUUAUGAUAAUCACUGGGAGUACAUUGAAGCUGAGAACUAUAGACUUCUCGCUGAUGCUAUACUAGACAUGCAAGAGUCAAAAUCAAAGGAUAUGGGCGGUAUGGGUAAGAAUGGUGUUGCUCGUAACGAACCUGAGCCUCUGAAGAAAAGAACAAGAAAUAGGAAAGGGGCCAAUGACCCUGGACCAGCAGUGAUUAGCUCUGAUACAGCUGCAGAGUUUUCACUUAAAAGGCCAAAAUUAGAAGAAGAUGUUCGUUCUGAAGCCUAUCCUGUAACAAUAAGAGAUGAGCUAGCUAACUCAAUGGACCACAAAGGGAAAAUAGUUGAAACUUCAUUGCCUGAAGUCCGUCCCAUGUUAGUUUACACAAAGAAUAGCAGAAGAAAAACUGUUGAAUCAGAAUUGCCUGAAAUAAAUCAUAGAAAAGAUCAAGCAGUUUACUUAAGGAACCGCAAAGGCAAAAAAGUCGCAGAAACAUCAUCUCAGCCUACUUUUGGAGAAGCACCUGAGAAAUUAUCAAUGCCGCCAUGUUCUAAGAAGCAAAGGACAACUGAGACCUUGUUACCUCAGUUACAUGAUAGUUUCCGAAGGACCGGGCAAGCUUCAUCUCCUAUGAAUUCUAGAGUGACAAGAUCUCAAAAACAAGGAUUCGAAACUUGUUCUGGUCCAGAUCAAAUUGGUAACUUUUCUUCUGUUCCAGUCAGGCCUAAAGAUGAACCACGUGAUGAUGACUUACCAUUAUGUGAUACUCCUAUUGCAGUGAUGCCCCCUCCUCAGUCCAUAUCUUUUCAUGUUGGUGAAGUAAGUCAUCAACAUUCUUUGAAGAAUCCUAUUUUGCAGAAAAUUGUUGUUCUAGAUGGAACACAUAAUGAACAAAAUGAGAAGGAUAAAGAAAACCUCCCAGAUAACACAUGCAACAAAGGGUCCCCAUCCAAAAUCUUAUCAGUUCAGGACUCAUCUUCUGUCAAUGUCAAUGCUGGUUCAUCAGAUCUAGGGGAGGUAAAACUUUCAUUUUGGUACAAUUUUGAUCGACCUAGUUUCCAUGUGCCAAACUUGGAGGAUGUUUACAAGCUAGUGGAGGACAAAUGUUUGAGAUCAUAUAAGAUUCUGCAACCUAGCUUCUCCAUUAAAAACCUCAUGAAUGAGAUGUGCCAAUGUUUUGUAGAACUAAGUUCUGAAAUAACUGACAAUGAGCAGGAAAAUUUUGUACAGAUAAAUUCUCUGCUUGAUUCACUUAAGAAACCUGUUAUGGCUAGUGUGUGCAUUCCUGCAAGUUCAGAUGGUUUCUUGGGUUCAACACUGUCUGGUGGUUUUCAGGACAGAUCUGGUCCAUCCCACUGUCAUAAUGAUGCAGAGAAUAAUCAAAAUGGGACUAGUAAGAAAAGAAAGAAACCUGAAUUUUCUGAAUCUGCAAAGGAUACAUCACAGGGUUUGGUCAUGGUUCAACAGCCACAAUAUCGACUUGCAGAAUUUAGACCACUCCAUGAUGUGGAUGACAUAUCUAAAGGUGAAGAAAGAGUGCGAAUACCAGUGGUAAAUGAAAUCACAACUGAUAAGUAUCCACCAUCUUUUAAUUACAUACCACAAAACUUUGUGUACCAAAGUGCAUAUCUGAAUUUUUCUCUUGCUCGAAUUGGAGAUGAGGACUGUUGUGCUGACUGUUUCAAUGAUUGUUUGGCUGCACCGAUUCCUUGUGCAUGUGCAAGAGAAACAGCAGGUGACUUUGCCUAUACAACAAAGGGGGUUGUAAAAAGGGAUUUCUUGGAUGAGAGUAUUUCAAUGUACCGUGAACCAGAGAAGCACCACAAAUUUUAUUGUCCAGAUUGCCCUCUUGAAAGAUCCAAAAAUGAAAUCUCACCAGAGCCAUGCAGAGGACAUUUGAUUAGGAAGUUCAUUAAAGAAUGUUGGAGAAAAUGUGGCUGCAGCAUGCACUGUGGCAAUCGUGUGGUACAGAGAGGCAUUACAUGCAAUUUGCAGGUAUUUCGUACAUCUGAGGGAAAGGGAUGGGGUUUGAGAACACUUGAUGAAUUGCCUAGAGGUGCAUUUGUAUGUGAAUAUGUUGGUGAAGUACUGACAAACAUGGAGCUUUAUGACAGGACAGUGCAAAAAACUGGCAAUGCAAAACAUACAUAUCCUGUGCUACUUGAUGCUGAUUGGGGAUCUGAAGGUAGACUUAAGGAUGAAGAAGCACUUUGUUUGGAUGCAACAUUUUAUGGUAAUGUGGCAAGGUUUAUUAACCAUAGAUGCUGCGAUGCCAAUCUGAUUGAAAUUCCAGUUGAAAUAGAAACACCAGAUCAUCAUUAUUACCAUCUUGCUUAUUUUACAACUAGAAGAGUGGAACCUUUGGAAGAAUUGACAUGGGAUUAUGGCAUUGAUUUUGAUGAUGAUGAUCACCCAAUCAAGGCAUUUAAAUGUAGAUGCGGAAGCAGACUUUGCAGAGAUAUUAAACGCUGAAUGUCCUAGAUAAUGACCACUCUUGGAUGGCUCUUAGCUUGCUUGGAUGCUUCUAAUCCUUUAGAUUACACCAUAAAACUCAAGAUUAUCACAGAUGAAGUUGUAUUUCUUCAAAUUUAUGUAAAGCUUCUUCCUUGUGAAGAACUUUUAUAAAUGGGAUUGGUUUGGAAGAUCAUCUGCUGCACAAGAUGCCACACAUUUCGUUUCACUGUAUAUACAAUGCCACAUCCUUUGAAACUUCACCUUGUUUCUUGUACUCUUCACAUCUCCACGUGACACCAUCAGUUCCAUCAACUCUACUAGGGCUAUCCACUACCGCUCCAUUAGAGGCUCAUUGUUAUUGUAGUGAAGACCAAUCAGAUUCUUAGUGGUCACUUGUAACUCUUUCAUUAGUCUCUCUGACACUAGUACCUCCUUCAUUCAUUCUUGAUUGCUGCUCUGCAGCAAGGGACCCGAUCAAGAGCAUCUGCAAUGUAGUUGACUGGACGUGAAGCUAUAGAUUUCGAGUAAAUUUUGGGUGCAUUCCAAAUAAAAGUUUUUGUUAGCACUAACAGAUAGUCAAUAGAAACUGCUGUUGUGUAAAUUAGAUAGAAAUCUCAGCGUUUUUUUGGUAUGAGCAUUAUCUGGCACUUUCUUAUCUUGGUUCCAACGUUUGAUACUUGCGUUUUGUAGAUAUCAAAGCUGCCUAUGUAAGCCACUUCAAUUAUAAGUAGGUGUUUGUGUAUCAA